rnacentral:rRNA from 1 species
UACAGAGGUCCCGAGCGUUGUUCGGAUUCAUUGGGCGUAAAGGGUGCGUAGGCGGCUUGGUAGGUCUGGUGUGAAAGCCCCGGGCUCAGCCCGGGAAGGGCACUAGAAACUGCCAAGCUAGAGUGCCGGAGGGGAGAGUGGAAUUCCUGGUGUAGCGGUGAAAUGCGUAGAGAUCAGGAGGAAUACCGGUGGCGAAAGCGACUCUCUGGACCGAUACUGACGCUGAGGCGCGAAAGCGUGGGGAGCAAACAGA